rnacentral:misc_RNA from 1 species
AAUUAACUAGGUGAUAGAGAAACCAUUUCCCAAUUUAACAAACUCAAGCUUUUCUGAGGAUCAUAUAUCAGAGUAGAAAUGGCCAAUGGGUAGCAAAUACCAGAGAAUUAGAUAUGGACUGGACCCACUAAUGUCUAAUUACAUGGAAAGUUUACAAAAGCUUGUAUACAUUGUUCUUCCUAUAUAUCAGAAACUCACCUUCAAGACAACAAAGAAGAUUCACUAAAGAUUUCUCGGUCGACCCAUUGAAGUGCUCCAAAAGAUCAGAAAGGGUAACCCCAUCAUCAGAGUUCUUGAGCCAGCUCAAUAUGGAUUCUUCCGUGGCAUCCAGAGCCCUAAAACUUUCUUUUUCUGCUGCUUCGACCUUCUGUCGUUUUGUAUGAAUGAGAAAAUCACCUUCACUGGAUGCAGCUUCUUUCCUACUCUCAGUCAGGAGAUGAGAUUCUGCUCCUUCAGUCUCCCCAGGAGAAGAAGCACAAGUGAUGCCAGGUGCUUCACCUAUGUCAUCAUCUCCUUGCAUGUCAGAUUGAAUAAUAGAGUUCUGUAGUACUUCUGAUAUUUCAGUCAAACAUUCAUCUCCAUUGCAACUUUGUUCAGAUUUGUAUGAAAAUACUUCAGCUGAUACUCCUGCCUCUUGCAUCGUCAAGUACGCCUUUAUCUGACCAUAAUUUACCUCUUCUGGUAACUCAGUUUUUAUCGGCUUCAAUUUUUCCCUACCAACUUUUGAGACAGCAUUCUGGAUACUUAAGAAUGUCUCUCUUGUAAGCCCAGUCUCCUCACAAAACCUAGUCCAAUUCAUUUUGCAUCCCUCUCGUGCAGCUUCGAGUAUAUACUCUAGCACAGUUUGUUCCUUUAUUGCUACUGCUCUACUAGGAAAAUUUGCAAUUUCUUUGAACGUGAGACCAUCCUCAUGCCACAUCUUCCAUGCUUCAAAUUUUGCUGGUGUUAACUUUUUAUUGAUUGGAACUGUGAGAGUCUUACUGGGAACAGAGGUUUGACUGGUUGGUUCCCCAUCCAGAGAAAGAUUGCAAGCUUCUGAUAGAUGCUUAAUACUUAGAAGAAAAUUGUCCCCAUACAG